GAUGAAGAACGUAGCGAAAUGCGAUACGUAAUGUGAAUUGCAGAAUUCAGUGAAUCAUCGAAUCUUUGAACGCAUAUUGCGCUCUCUGGUAUUCCGGAGAGCAUGCUUGUUUGAGUAUCAGUAAACACCUCAACUUCCAUAUCUUUUUUGAAAUGGGAGUUGGACUUGAGUGAUCCCAACGCUUUUCCUCACCGAAAAGUGGCGGGUUACUUGAAAUGCAGGUGCAGCUAGACUUUUCUCUGAGCUAUAAGCAUAUCUAUUUAGUCUGCCUAAAAAACAGAUUAUUACCUUUGCUGCAGCUAACAUAAAGGAGAUUAGUUCUUGUGCUGACUGAUGCAGGAUUCACAAAGACAGGCUUCGGCCGACUUUGUAAACUCGAUCUCAAAUCAAGUAAGACUACCCGCUGAACUUAAGCAUAUCAAUAAGCGGAGGA
rnacentral:misc_RNA from 1 species